CUACGGGCGGCUGCAGUGGGGAAUUUUGCGCAAUGGGGGCAACCCUGACGCAGCAAUACCGCGUGAGUGAAGAAGGCCUUUGGGUCGUAAAGCUCUUUUCUAAGGGAAGAUAGUGACGGUACCUUAGGAAUAAGCACCGGCUAACUCCGUGCCAGCAGCCGCGGUAAUACGGAGGGUGCGAGCGUUGUUCGGAUUUACUGGGCGUAAAGGGCACGUAGGCGGCCUAGCAAGUUAAGGGUGAAAUCCCGGGGCUCAACUCCGGAACUGCUCUUAAAACUGCUAAGCUAGAGAUAGCCAGAGGCGGGUGGAAUUCCAGGUGUAGAGGUGAAAUUCGUAGAUAUCUGGAGGAACACCGGUGGCGAAGGCGGCCCGCUGGGGCUAUUCUGACGCUGAGGUGCGAAAGCGUGGGGAGCGAACGGGAUUAGAUACCCCCGUAGUC
rnacentral:rRNA from 1 species